AUGCAAGUCGAACGGAAUAGUAUGGUAGCAAUAUUAGACUAUUUAGUGGCGAACGGGUGCGUAACACGUGGACGACAUUCCGAAAAGCGGGGAAUAGCCCAGGGAAACUUGGAUUAAUGCCCCAUGUGGUCGUAAGACCAAAGGCGCAAGCCGCUUUUUGAUUGGUCCGCGGCCUAUCAGCUUGUUGGCGGGGUAAUGGCCCACCAAGGCUACGACGGGUAGCUGGUCUUAGAGGACGACCAGCCACACUGGAACUGAGACACGGUCCAGACACCUACGGGUGGCAGCAGUCGAGAAUCUUUCACAAUGGGCGAAAGCCUGAUGGAGCGACGCCGCGUGGAGGAUAAGGUCUUCGGAUUGUAAACUCCUGUCAUGCGAGAACAAAGCCUCACGGCCUGAUAGUAUCGCAAGAGGAAGAGACGGCUAACUCUGUGCCAGCAGCCGCGGUAAUACAGAGGUCUCAAGCGUUGUUCGGAAUUACUGGGCGUAAAGGGUGCGUAGGCUGCGUGGAAAGUCGGAUGUGAAAUCCGGGGGCUCAACCUCCGAAUUGCAUACGAUACUGCCACGCUAGAGUUCUCAAGGGGGGUCUGGAAUUCUCGGUGUAGCAGUGAAAUGCGUAGAUAUCGAGAGGAACACUAGUGGCGAAGGCGAGACCUUGGGGAGAUACUGACGCUGAGGCACGAAGGCUAGGGUAGCAAACGGGAUUAGAUACCCCGGUAGUCCUAGCAGUAAACGGUGCGCGUUUGGUGUGGGGGGUGACCCCCUCCGCGCCGAAGUUAACACGAUAAACGCGCCGCCUGGGAAGUACGGUCGCAAGACUAAAACUCAAAGAAAUUGACGGGGACCCGCACAAGCGGUGGAGUAUGUGGCUUAAUUCGAUGCAACGCGAAGAACCUUACCUAGGCUUGACAUGCAUUCUGUCAUUAAUGAAAAUUAAUUAGUGUAGCAAUACACAGUUUGCACAGGUGCUGCAUGGCUGUCGUCAGCUCG
rnacentral:rRNA from 1 species